AGCGAGGUGGGGCAGCCAGGAGUGCCCGUCGGGCUCAUAACCCGAAGGUCGCACGUUCAAAUCGUGCCCUCGCUACCA
rnacentral:tRNA from 1 species